rnacentral:rRNA from 1 species
GAUGAACGCUGGCGGCGUGCCUAAUACAUGCAAGUCGAGCGAACGGACGAGAAGCUUGCUUCUCUGAUGUUAGCGGCGGACGGGUGAGUAACACGUGGAUAACCUACCUAUAAGACUGGGAUAACUUCUGGAAACCGUAGCUAAUACCGGAUAAUAUUUUUAACCGCAUGGUUCAAAAUUGAAAGACGGUCUUGCUGUCACUUAUAGAUGUAUCCGCGCUGCAUUAGCUAGUUGGUAAGGUAACGGCUUACCAAGGCAACGAUGCAUAGCCGACCUGAGAGGGUGAUCGGACACACUGGAACUGAGACACGGUCCAGACUCCUACGGGAGGCAGCAGUAGGGAAUCUUCCGCAAUGGGCGAAAGCCUGACGGAGCAACGCCGCGUGAGUGAUGAAGGUCUUCGGAUCGUAAAACUCUGUUAUUAGGGAAGAACAUAUGUGUAAGUAACUGUGCACAUCUUGACGGUACCUAAUCAGAAAGCCACGGCUAACUACGUG